UACGUAGGGUGCGAGCGUUGUCCGGAAUUAUUGGGCGUAAAGAGCUCGUAGGCGGUCUGUCGCGUCGAAUGUGAAAACCCGGGGCUCAACUCCGGGCUUGCAUUCGAUACGGGCAGGCUAGAGUUCGGUAGGGGAGUCUGGAAUUCCUGGUGUAGCGGUGAAAUGCGCAGAUAUCAGGAGGAACACCGGUGGCGAAGGCGGGUCCCUGGGCAUUUCCUGACGCUGAGGCGCGAAAGCGUGGGGAGCAAACGGG
rnacentral:rRNA from 1 species